GAUGAACGCUGGCGGCGUGCCUAAUACAUGCAAGUCGAGCGAACAGAUGAGGAGCUUGCUCCUCUGACGUUAGCGGCGGACGGGUGAGUAACACGUGGAUAACCUACCUAUAAGACUGGGAUAACUUCGGGAAACCGGAGCUAAUACCGGAUAAUAUAUUGAACCGCAUGGUUCAAUAGUGAAAGACGGUUUUGCUGUCACUUAUAGAUGGAUCCGCGCCGCAUUAGCUAGUUGGUAAGGUAACGGCUUACCAAGGCAACGAUGCGUAGCCGACCUGAGAGGGUGAUCGGCCACACUGGAACUGAGACACGGUCCAGACUCCGACGGGAGGCAGCAGUAGGGAAUCUUCCGCAAUGGGCGAAAGCCUGACGGAGCAACGCAGCGUGAGUGAUGAAGGUCUUCGGAUCGUAAAACUCUGUUAUUAGGGAAGAACAAAUGUGUAAGUAACUAUGCACGUCUUGACGGUACCUAAUCAGAAAGCCACGGCUAACUACGUG
rnacentral:rRNA from 1 species